CCUUCACACAGUUCAGUUCGGCCAUUCUUUGAUUCGGUUCGAUGCCGGUGUUGGUUUAUGCAGAACUUUUUCUGUGUUUGUGCUUGUGUGCUGAGGCAAUUCCAAUGGAACAAGCGUGAAGGAACCUGUUCCUGCGUGUACAGCCGGAGCCACGGUGUCCCGAUUAUCAGUUUCAGUUCAUAACGCUUUAUAAAUGUGAUACUUCCAACAUGGAAAGAUUCAAUAAACAACACCACACCUACCACAAUGCUUCAUCCGCAAUUAUUGAAUGAGCUUUCAUCGCUAUCGUCAGUGUCUAUCCAUACUGGAAGUCAAAAGAUGCCACGCGAGAAUGCUUCAUCGUAAAAACAAACUGUAUCAAGCAAUACACGCAAGCCGGUUUCUCGUGCGAAUAAUGCAAUGAUAGAAAAUAUACCGUCCACAUCGAUAGUAGUGCAUUCUUCUUUGGAUCACUUCUCGUUUAUGCAAACAACUGCAACAACUUCGGGUGCUUGUCAACGAAAACCUAAACCCCUUUCAUCUACUGCUUCAAUGGCAACGCAAACGGAUUUUUCUAGUGGACAGAACGUGGGAUUAGAUGCCAUACUAGAAAAAUUAGACACCAUGCAGAGGGAGCAACAAAGACAGGCAAACAUGUAUCAGAAUAAAAUGCUGGAUAUGGAGAAGCAGCAGAAAUUAAUACGAGCACAGUUAGAUAUUUUAUCCGACAAAUUGAUUCCACGGCCAGGAUUUGUUGCGGAAUCGUCGUUUGAAUGGGAAACGGUGGGGACCAGGGAAGAACUAGAUCGACUGGUGGAAAGAUUGGGGGAACCAGAGUUCAAAAAAAAAUUUAUGGAAUUUUUAGAUACAAAGCUGCCGACCGACAGUUCAGAAGCUAGACUCCAUGAUAGCAUGGACAUUAUAUUCAAAAAGGAUUUUGUGACACAAGCCAACUGGACAGGAUUAGGACCAGAUAAAGUUUGUUUUUCAAAUUAUGAAAUGGUUAUUCAGAUUUUUAAAUUUAUAGGAACAUGUCAUGGAGUUUCACCCACGGACCAAAGAAUCAUAACAUUUUUCCAAAAUAAGUUUAAACAUUCAAAACAAAGACUUAACUUGGUGGGAAAAGU